UACGGAGGGUGCGAGCGUUGUCCGGAAUCAUUGGGCGUAAAGGGCGCGUAGGUGGCCCGGUCAGUUCGUGGUGAAAGCGCGGGGCUCAACCCUGCGUCGGCCAUGAAUACUGCCGCGGCUGGAGCACUGUAGAGGCAGGCGGAAUUCCGGGUGUAGCGGUGGAAUGCGUAGAGAUCCGGAAGAACACCGGUGGCGAAGGCGGCCUGCUGGGCAGUUGCUGACACUGAAAAGCGAAAGCCAGGGGAGCAAACGGG
rnacentral:rRNA from 1 species